UACAACAACUUAAAGCAUACAAUUCCAACAAUUUCAACAUCGAUCAACACUAACACAUCAACGAUCUCAACAACCCUAAAGAUUCAAACUCGACCUGCAUCCACCAACAACCAUACUUGCAAACUAUCAACAACCCAUCUUCCAUACCCAGAUUGACAACUAGUUAAACCCGAACCAGUUUCAAAUCAAAAACCCGACCCGCAAUCGAUCCCAAACCGCUCAUUUUCACUCUUUUAUGCGUCACACGAUAUUGGGUAUGAGGAAAGUUCAAGAAUUUUCUAGAAGUGCCUAGGUGUCACCCCUAACGGCUAGAUGCCGAGAAUUUCAGGUUGAAUGGUACGAAAUCGUACAUACUUGCCCGAUUUUCAUUAGUUCGUGAGGAAAAUUACAUCCCUUAACUUCUAUUUGUUGGCCAAUUUGGAUUUCAUGAAAAAAAUCUAAAAUUUGCACUGGUUGUGGAUGAAAAAUACAAGUUGUAGAAGGAUUCCAAUUUCAAAUUUCAGAAGAUCUCUAUUUUAAAAUCUCGAAAUUACCCCUAUUUGAAUUUUUCCCACAUCGGUGAGCUCCAAGGGGAUGGGAUUCUUUCAUUUUUCUAUAAAUAGCCCUCUUUAGAGCAAAAAAGGGGUAAAAAAGAGAGUCUGAAGAGAGGGAAAAAGGAGCUUGAGCAAAACUCAGUAGAUUUUUACUAAAAAUUUUUAGUCAUCAAUUCGAUCGGAACUCUCAAAAGACUGAUUUCUGGUGGUGGUGGAGUCCAACGUCAGCUCGAGAUUCUAUUUUGCUGCCCCAAAAGAGAGUCAUUCUCAAAGAUUAGAAGACAGUCUCAUGACGUGUGGAUAUAAGGAGUUGAAAGAAGAAGAAUGGGCUGAAGUCUCGUCCUUAGUGGCAAAGAGACUCGGAAGUCUCAUUUUUUAUUUUCAUUUAUUCAUUUGUAGUUUUCUUUUUUUUUUAUUUAUUUAUUUCUUUAUUUCAUUAUUUAUUCAUUUGAGCUUCGAAGCCAAAGUUGUAAAUUUAAUACAGGUGGAGCGGAUUUUGGGCCAAAAAGGCCUGAAAACUAGAUUAGGACAGGUGAAAUGGGUCGAAAGCUCAAUUAGACUAGGAUGAGUUUUGUUGAUUUGGGUCCAAUGACCUAAAUCUUUUACUUUCUCCUCUCUUUCAUCUUUUAUGUCUUUAUUUGCUUAUUAGUUUUUGUUUAGACUUAGUUAAAAUCCUUACGAAGUCGCCUAAAUCUAUUUCACGCGUCUUUUUUUUUUUUGUAAAAUCGAUCACUUUUCAACAAAUUAAUCUUUUUUUUGAAGUUAGUCAAAAGAUGUUUCCAAACAGUCCGGAUAACUGCAAGUUAGCGGACGUUUUAGGUGACUAACACCUUUCUAAAAUGUUAAUAGGAAUCGCGUAUUCAGAAUUUUUAACUUCAAUGAUUUUCCUGAUUUGAAUCGUCUAAGUAUUUUAUAAAGGUUUCUUAAUGUCUUUUCAAAAUUAAGUGGGGAAUUUUUUUAAAAUUCAAAAUUUUCAUAAAAUAGAAAUGGAGACUCUACAGGGGAAUUUGAAAUUAGGUUCUAACCAAAUGUUUGAUUUCAUCUUUUGAUUAAUUGUUUAUGUGUUUAUAUGUUUUGAUUUUGUGGUAUUUAAUUAUUGCCUUUUGUACAAUAUUCCUACAUUAUUUUAUAAUCUAUUUUGUGGUUUCGUGGAUGUCCCGGCCUCUGUUAUUCAAUUCCAAAUAAUGUGUUGGAAAUACAACAAUUUAUUAACACGUGAGUCGUCUGAUGGCUGUUCGUAUUUUCUAACCCAAGUCGUGCGCUUGAGAAUUUGGUUCAAACUCACUCUCGACACUUAGGAUAGAGCGAAACCAAAACCCUAUUUUAGGCAUGAGCCUAGGACGACCCAAUACCCGAGGGGGGUAUUGGGAUAAUUAGAAACUUGCCUUGUGUCUAUUGACCUCGAGUUAAUUACAGGUGACUUAUAUUUAUGUAUUGAAGAAAUAUAUGUUUGUUUAAUCUAAUCCAUUAACCUUUGGGGGGGUGGGGGGUGGGGGUGGGAGAAGACUUGUUUUACUUACUUUUGUAUAAGGAUGACUCAAUUGUACACGGAUUGAUGAAGGAAUUUAAACAAGACAAGAAAGAAAUUGAUCGAUUUGAAUAGUUGCGUGGCAUCUAUGGCAUAGUUAUACGACAAUAUCUUGAUCAUUAACGGAUGUCGCCAAUAACGAGGAGUGGACAAAGUUAAGAGGCCGAAGGCCGAUAGAAGAAGCAUUCAGGAACUAGUAUCCCCUGCGCGGGACAUUACUCUUCUUCUCAUGUUAUUUUUCCUUUUCCUAUAGACUGUAUCCAUUUUGUGCAACUUUUGUAGGCAUUUAUGCCAUUUAUGUAUACCUAUGAAGGUUUUAGGGGGAUAAUAAAUUGACUUUAAAAAGGCAUAUAUUUUCUUCAAAAGUCAUUAGGCCUAAACCCUUGGCUCAAAAGGGUCACCCAAUUAGGAUGCACGUUUAUUACAAUAAACUUGUGUAAUAUAAUUGUUUAUGUGCUUAUACGUGUUAUGUUGGCUCGAAUCAAAGGCGAAUUGAUCCAAUCUCAUUUUUCAUAAAACAUCUCUACGCAGAAAUAUACCCCACUAUACAAAAGUCUAAUCAAACGUACUCCAAGUUUCUCAGAAAAGUCCGCAGUAUUUCUUAAAACUUUCAAAAUGAUCACUACCAUUUUUGAAAAAUUGAUUUUUGAAUCAGAAAAAGUCGUUAUAGUUUUAAACUACGUAGGGUUUGAUUUCUCCCCCGUGAGAUUCGUAGGCAGCCUUUCGGCUCGGCCCCCAUCUUAAAAAACUCUAUUGUCCUCCACUUUCUUAAAGGAAGAAAAAGAGUUGAACUUUCCUGAAAAAUUUCACCUAUCCAUAUCAUUGAGAAAAAUCCUGUUCAUUAAAAGUCUCGAGUCAUCAUUACUUCAUGGAUCAAUUAGCAUGAGAUAACAAACAAAUCUAUGUGUUUACUUCCUACCUUAUCAUCUUGUUUUACUUAUUACUAACGAAAUUUAACACUUCAACUAAAGGAUGAUCACCACCAUCAUCCAACCACAUCCCUUUUAGAAGGCAUAUGAGUAUUUUGGGAAAUUCAGGUUUCAUCUUUGUCUUCGGGAUAUUUCUAAAUUUAUGCCGAGGAUUACCUUCUCUUUCUUUCAAAUUGAAGUGAUAGAACACCUAGAGUUUUGAAAAUUAUGUCCAGGUAAAUUCUUAUGUAUGAAUGUGAAGAGUUUCAAGUUCAUGAUUAAGAGGUUACAAGCCUAUUUUUUACAACUACAUAUUAGCCCUGUCCAAAGCCACCGACUCGGCCCACCUAUCUCUUCUAUCUUCUUCAGCAAACUAGUACAACAGCUCCAAGUAUACAAUUCCAAUAAUUUCAACAUCGAUCAACACCAAUGCAUGAAGGAUCUCAACAACCCCAAAGAUCCAAACUCGACCCGAAUCCACCAGCAACCAUACUGACAAACCAUCAACAACCCGUCUCCCAUACCCAGAUCAACAACCAGUGAAACCCGAACCAGCUUCAAAUAAAAACCCAACCCGAAGUUGAUCCCAAAUCGCUCAUUUUCACUUUUUAUGCAUCACACGAUAUUGGGUAUGAGGAAAGUCCAAGAAUUUUCUAGAAGCACCUAGGUGUCGCCCCUAAUGGCUAGAUGCCGAGAAUUUUGGGAUGAAUGGUACGAAAUCGUACAUACUUGCCCGAUUCUCAUUGGUUCGUGAGGAAAAUUGCAUCCCUUAAAUUCUAUUUGUUGGCCAAUUUUGGAUUUCAUGAAAAAAAAAUCCAAAAUUUACACUGGUUGUGGAUGAAAAAUCCAAGCUGUAGAAGGAUUCCAAUUUCAAAUUUCAAAAUAUCUCCAUUUUAAAAUCCCAAAAUUACCCCUAUUAGAAUUUUUUCUGCAUCGGUGAUCUCCAAGGGGAUGGGAUUCUUUCAUUCUUCUAUAAGUAGCCCUCUUUAGAGCACAAAGGGGGUAAAAAAAAAGAGUCUGAAGAGGGGGAAAAAGGAGUUUGGGCAAAACUCAGUAGAUUUUUCUCAAAAUUUUUAGUCGUUGAUUCGGUCGGAACUCUCGAAGGACUAAUUUCUGGUGAUAGUGGAGUCAAACGUCAGCUCGAGAUUCUGUUUUGCUACCCCAAAAGAGGCCACUGAGGCCCAUUGCUCCUGAGUCAUUCUCAAAGAUUAAAAGACAAUCUCAUGAAUUGUGGAUAUAAGGAGUCGAAAGAAGAAGAAUGGGCUGAAGUUUCAUCCUUGAAGUGGUAAAGAGACUCGAAAGUCUCAUUUCUUAUAUUCAUUUAUUCAUCUGUUGUUGUCUUUUUAUUAUUAUUUAUUUAUUUCUUCAUUCUAUUAUUUAUUCAUUUGGGUCUCGAAGUCAAAGUUGUAAAUUUAAUACAGUCGGAGUGGAUUUUGGGCCAAAAAGGCCCGAAAACUAGAUUUGGACAGGUGAAAUGGGUUGAAAGCCAAGUUAGACUAGGACAGGUUUCGUUGAUUUGAGCCCAAUGACCUAAAUCUUUUACUUUCUCCUCC